rnacentral:rRNA from 1 species
GAUGAACGCUGGCGGCGUGCCUAAUACAUGCAAGUCGAACGAAACUUCUUUAUCACCGAGCGCUUGCACUCACCGAUAAAGAGUUGAGUGGCGAACGGGUGAGUAACACGUGGGCAACCUGCCCAAAAGAGGGGGAUAACACUUGGAAACAGGUGCUAAUACCGCAUAACCAUAGUUACCGCAUGGUAACUAUGUAAAAGGUGGCUAUACUACCGCUUUUGGAUGGGCCCGCGGCGCAUUAGCUAGUUGGUAGGGUAAAGGCUUACCAAGGCAAUGAUGCGUAGCCGAAUUGAGAGGUUGAUCGGCCACAUUGGGACUGAGACACGGCCCAAACUCCUACGGGAGGCAGCAGUAGGGAAUCUUCCACAAUGGGCGAAAGCCUGAUGGAGCAACGCCGCGUGGGUGAAGAAGGUCUUCGGAUCGUAAAACCCUGUUGUUAGAGAAGAAAGUGCGUGAGAGUAACUGUUCACGUUUCGACGGUAUCUAACCAGAAAGCCACGGCUAACUACGUG